GAGGGUAUAGCUCAAGUGGUAGAGCAUGUGCUUAGCAUGCAUGAGGUCCUGGGUUCAAUGCCCAGGACCUCCU
rnacentral:tRNA from 1 species